rnacentral:rRNA from 1 species
AGAGUUUGAUCAUGGCUCAGGACGAACGCUGGCGGCGUGCUUAACACAUGCAAGUCGAACGGUGAUGAUGGGGCUUGCCCUGUCGGAUCAGUGGCGAACGGGUGAGUAACACGUGAGUAACCUGUCCCAGACUCUGGGGAUAACUCCGGGAAACCGGAGCUAAUACCGGAUAGGACCCUUGGACGCAUGUUCUGGGGGUGGAAAGUUUUUCGGUUUGGGAUGGGCUCGCGGCCUAUCAGCUUGUUGGUGAGGUAGUGGCUCACCAAGGCGACGACGGGUAGCCGGCCUGAGAGGGCGACCGGCCACACUGGGACUGAGACACGGCCCAGACUCCUACGGGAGGCAGCAGUGGGGAAUAUUGCACAAUGGGCGCAAGCCUGAUGCAGCGACGCCGCGUGAGGGAUGACGGCCUUCGGGUUGUAAACCUCUUUCAGCAGGGAAGAAGCGAAAGUGACGGUACCUGCAGAAGAAGCACCGGCUAACUACGUGCCAGCAGCCGCGGUAAUACGUAGGGUGCGAGCGUUGUCCGGAAUUAUUGGGCGUAAAGAGCUUGUAGGCGGUUUGUCGCGUCUGCUGUGAAAAUCCGGGGCUCAACCCCGGACUUGCAGUGGGUACGGGCAGACUGGAGUGUGGUAGGGGAGACUGGAAUUCCUGGUGUAGCGGUGGAAUGCGC